rnacentral:rRNA from 1 species
AUUGAACGCUGGCGGCAGGCCUAACACAUGCAAGUCGAGCGAGCGGCGGACGGGUGAGUAUUGUCUGGGAAACUGCCUGAUGGGGGGGGAUAACUCUUGGAAACGGUAGCUAAUAUCGCAUAUGAUCAGAUGUGCCCAGAGGGGAUUAGCUAGGAGGUGGGGUAACGGCUCACCUAGGCGACGAUCCCUAGCUGGUCUGAGAGGAUGACCAGCCACACUGGAACUGAGACACGGUCCAGACUCCUACGGGAGGCAGCAGUGGGGAAUAUUGCACAAUGGGCGCAAGCCUGAUGCAGCCAUGCCGCGUGUGUGAAGAAGGCCUUCGGGUUGUAAAGCACUUUCAGCGAGGAGGCGUUACCCGCAGAAGAAGCACCGGCUAACUCCGUGCCAGCCGCCGCGGUAAUAC